GCGCGCGUCGGCGUCGCCCUCCUCCCAUUGAGCGAGGCUGUGUCGCGUGGCCCAGCGUCGGCGUGACGGUUGGACGCGGGCGCGGCACUGCGGGUCCCGAUUGCUGCAGCCGCUUGUCAGUGUGAUGAAGAUUGGCACCCAGGCCACAGAACCUGCUCUGAUCCAACUGCUGAGUCUGGGACAUGUGGCUCUGCUCGGCCAGUUGCUCAGACGCCAUUUGCUUUUGACACAAGAUGAUUUGAUGCUUUCCUAUGAGACCCAUGAACCAUGAUGGCUACACAGACACUAAGCAUAGACAGCUACCAAGACGGGCAACAAAUGCAAGUAGUAACAGAGUUAAAAACGGAGCAAGAUCCCAACUGCUCUGAACCGGAUGUGGAAGGAGUGAGCCCUCCCCCGGCGGGCUCCCAGACGCCAAUGGACGCAGACAAGCAGGCCAUUUAUAGGCAUCCACUAUUUCCACUACUAGCUUUGUUGUUCGAAAAAUGCGAACAGUCUACCCAGGGCUCAGAAGGCACGACCUCUGCCAGUUUUGAUGUAGAUAUUGAAAAUUUUGUAAGAAAGCAAGAGAAAGAAGGAAAACCCUUCUUUUGCGAAGACCCGGAAACCGACAAUUUAAUGGUGAAAGCAAUCCAGGUUUUGCGCAUUCAUCUUCUUGAGCUGGAAAAGGUUAACGAGCUCUGCAAAGACUUCUGCAGUCGCUAUAUUGCUUGUCUAAAGACGAAAAUGAACAGUGAGACCCUCCUGAGCGGGGAGCCUGGAAGCCCGUACUCCCCCGUCCAGUCCCAGCAGAUUCAGAGUGCCAUCUCAGGCACCCUCAGCCCCCAAGGAAUCGUGGUGCCCGCAUCCGCGCUGCAGCAGGGGAACGUCACCAUGGCGACAGUGGCAGGUGGCACGGUGUAUCAGCCUGUCACGGUUGUCACUCCUCAAGGCCAGGUGGUGACACAAGCCCUGUCGCCCGGCACCAUCAGGAUCCAGAACUCCCAGCUCCAGUUACAGUUAAACCAAGAUCUCAGCAUCUUGCAUCAAGAUGACGGCUCAGCUAAGAACAAAAGGGGCGUUUUGCCGAAGCAUGCCACCAAUGUGAUGAGAUCUUGGCUCUUUCAGCACAUAGGGCAUCCCUACCCAACAGAAGAUGAGAAAAAACAGAUCGCUGCUCAGACAAAUUUGACACUACUCCAAGUUAACAACUGGUUCAUCAACGCCAGAAGACGGAUUCUUCAGCCCAUGUUGGAUUCUAGUUGCUCAGAAACUCCAAAAACCAAGAAGAAGACAGCUCAGAACAGACCGGUCCAGAGGUUUUGGCCCGACUCCAUUGCUUCGGGAGCUGCACAGCCGCCGCCCAGCGAGCUGGCCAUGUCAGAAGGAGCCGUCGUGACGAUCACCACGCCCGUGAGCAUGAACGUGGACAGCCUGCAGUCUCUGUCCUCGGACGGCGCCACCCUGGCGGUACAGCAGGUCAUGAUGGCGGAGCAGAGCGAGGACGAGUCUGUGGACAGCACGGGGGACAGCGGGGCCGCGCUCGCCCCCACCCACAUCAGCGGGCUGGUCCUGGAGAACAGUGACUCCCUGCAGUAGGGCCGGCACAGCCCAGAACCGCGGGGCGGGCCUGACUUUUUACAGUUUGCACAGCAAACAUUUUACACACUUUUAUUUCUGACAUGUUUUAUACGUAGAUGGAGAAGAAUGCACUUUUGUAUUUCAUAGUGAGCUUCGAGAGCGCCCUCGCGGGCGCGGCGACUUUCCGGUGUGCGUGUGUGUGCGUGUGUGCGUGCGCGGGUUUUUAAGGAGAUUCUUUAAAGGUUUAACGCUAAAAAUGUGAUGAAUGACAGACACCCCCGUGAGCCCCUAAUUAGUUAAAGAAUAGUGCUGCCAUUUUCUAGAAAAUGAUGCAGUUUUAAUUUCGUUCUGUGGUUGAAGCAGGUCCCAGUGGGCUGGUUUAUUUGUGUCGCCCACGAUUGGAGAGAAGCUUCUGCACCUUAAAACUGCCAGUGCAAGGUAGACGCCCACGGCAGCAAAGUGCGUGUGGCCCGUGGUGAGCAUGCUCUGGUGGACAUACGCCGAGGUCCCCACGGACUUGGGGACGCCCAGUGUUCGUGUUUCUAAAAGGUGGUUUGGUGUUUGGGAAGGUCACCAGUUCUGGAGAUUCAGCAGCCAUCAUCAGUUACGGACCAAGGUUACAUUGCAGGAUAUCUGGAGCUGGGGCAGAUUUUUUCUGGAACUGAUUCCCCUCCCCCCCCAAAAUUGGUUAAUUACAGUUAAUCACAGAAGACUUAUUUCCUAGGUAACUUAGGAGGCGGUAAGAAAUACAUAGAAUUUUCUUUGAAAAAUACUUCAGGAGCUUUAAAAGAAAAAGUGGACUAAACUCUUUUGGAGCGAGAACAACAUUUUUAAGCAACAGUUGCGUUCCUUAUUUAUAAACAAUUUGUAAUAUUUUCGGUUUCGUAGAUCAUUUUAACUUGACCUAAAUCCUAACUUGGUUGGACUUCUUGAAACUAGGAGCUGUGGACACCAGCCAGCCACCUCCCUCCCUCCCCAGUCCCUCCAGUCGCCCCGCUCUUUGGGUGCGUGUGGACUCACAGGCAGGUCACUGCCCCCCCCCCCCCCCCCCCCGCCCCAGGGGUCACGUUCACUGAGCUGUGGUAGCCUGUUAGUCGAGGGCUGCACAGACUGCCCGUUUGGAGACAGACGGGGGCCGUGCGGGGUCCUGCUGCCCUCGCUGGCUUGAGAUCGGCCUUCCGUGCCCGGUGACGCUCCGCGCCCCCUGCGGCCGAGGCCGGUUUCCUUAGGCUCGAAGUUCUUACCGGGUUCGGAGGACUAGGAUAAGCCGUCCAGAGACGGGGCGCUCGUGGAGAGGCCUCAGCUUCCCCCCCACUCUCCCCGCGAAUAACCGAGGUGCUCGGGGACAACCUUGGCGUGGCAAGCCGUUUCGGCUCAUAAAACCGCUGCCCGGCGUGCCUGUCGUCGGUUUGCAUUUUAUAAACCCCCAUCUUCCGGCCCUCGGACCUUCAAGAGAACCUCUGAAAAUGGGACUCCCUCGAGCGUUCAUUUUCACGGAGCAGAUGCGAUCCUGACUUUGCGCCAGAAGGACGCUCCGGAUGUGUCCCCAGACCCAGAGUAAGAACGUCGUUACCCUCCCG